GACGAACGCUGGCGGCGUGCUUAACACAUGCAAGUCGAACGGAAAGUCUCUGCCUUUGUGGGGUGCUCGAGUGGCGAACGGGUGAGUAACACGUGAGUAACCUGCCCUUGACUGUGGGAUAACUUCAGGAAACUCGGGCUAAUACCGGAUAUGAGCCCCCGCUGCAUGGUGGGGGUUGGAAAUUUUCGGCGGUUGGGGAUGGACCCGCCGCUUAUCAGCUUGUUGGUGGGGUAGUGGCCUACCAAGGCUUUGAUGAGUAGCCCGCCUGCGAGGGUGCCCGGCCACAGUAGCACAGAGGCACGGCCCAGACUCCUACGGGGGGCAGCACUGGGAAAUAUUGCACAAUCCGUGGAAGCCUGGUGCAGCAACGCCGCGUGCGGGAUGAACGCCUUCGGCUCGUAACCCGCUUUCGCCUGGGACGAACCGUGGGUGCCGGUACUGGGUAAAGAAGCACCGGCUAACUACGUG
rnacentral:rRNA from 1 species